rnacentral:misc_RNA from 1 species
AAAGAUGAGGGGUCACUCUAGAAAUCUCAAGGUGGGAAAGUGCAAUGAGCAAUACCCUAGGUGGUUUUAGUUGUCCGCUUGAAUGGUGGUGUAUUUUUUUAGUAUGUUUUGAUGAACCGGAAAAUGAAAUGCUAGAAAAAUCUGAGAUAUAAAGAAUAGGGUUGCUGCUGUAGGUCAAAUAUGGUUUAAAGGAAAGUUGUACUUCCCAUGAUGUGAGGAAGAAGUUUUUUUAACACCACUUUUCUGAAAAGGUUUUUAAUUUCAUCUUUUUAAAACAUGUGUUGGUGUGACUCCGAAUAUUAUGUUGAUAUUUUAUACUGAGUAUAAUAUUAUCAUUUGUGAAUCUAAAGAUUGUG